UAAAAUGCUAAAAUACAAUAUACCUUGUAAAUUUUUUUUUAUUGAAAUUUUAGCAUCUAGAAAUAACUUAAAAUUAAAAUAUCCUAAAAAUUGUUAAGAAUAUUUCAAUGGCCUCUAUUGAGAGAGAAGGAGGCUUAAAAGGUUUCUAUUGAAAUUUUCAAUCCCCGAUUGAGAGCUGGUGAAAGAGCUUUUCCACGAUUGAGGGUGUAAGCUUAAAAGAAUUCGACUGAAACUUUCAAUCGCCGCUUCUUUGCGACUGAGGGUUGGUUUCGCAGUUUGCUAAUGCCGAUGAUGAUGAUGAUGAUGACGAUCUGGGGUUUGAUACCCGCAAAUCUUCGAGACUUUAGAGUCAACGCUCUGAGUUUCACCGUUCAAAACACAAUGAGUUUGAAGUAGUCGAUACGAUUGAUCAGUUGAUUGGUUCGAUUCUUGAUUCAAAAUCGAUCUGUUGUUGAUUGGUCCUAUUGAGCAUCAUAAUGGUCUCCAUGCUUAGAGCUUCACCGUUCUAGGUGAAACAGGAUUAGUUUGAAGUCGAUACGAUUGAACAAUCAAUUGGUCUGAUUCUUGAUCUAAAAUUGGAUUGUUGUCGAUUAGAUUUUCGAUUGGUCCUAUUGAGCAUCGGAGUCUGCAACUUGGGAGGGAGUUUCGUUUACAACUGCUGGACUUGUCUGCAACUGGAAUGGCUGAUUUGUAGAGGAAUCAACAUAAGAUACCUCACAGUAAAUACUUCCCAAAACAUAAGCUUCUGGAAAAUCUAAUUGCAACGACUGAUGCUAAAGUUGCUUUGCUUGGUGCUGACUAUUGCCUCCAUGUUGUGCCUGUACAGGGGCAGAUACCGGAAUCUGUCUAUGGUUAGUGCAGUUCAGCUUGUCUUUUCUAGCCGGAAUUGCUGAUUAUGUCGAUCCAGGCUUGCCGUUCAUAUCCCUCACAAGGGCUUAGAGCUCAAUACACUAAUGAUGAUGUCUCAAAUUAUUCCCUACGCACUGAAUAAUCAAGGUCAACCUUUCAUUGCAUUGUUAGGACCUUCUUUCUCUUUGGAACUUAUGAAUACAUUACCAACAGCAAUGGUGGUGGCAUCAAAAGACAAAAAAUUGGCAAAUGCCGUUCAGCAGCUACUAGCUUCCGAUCAUCUAAGAAUCAACACUUCAAGGUAUUACCUCACAUGAGAUACCUUAUGUUGUGUAUCGUUUCCUAUUAACUAAAUUGGUUGUGAUAAGCCAAGUUAGCUAGCACAAUUGCAUACUCAAAUUCCUCCAUAUUUCAUGACUCCCGUGUUAAAUAAUGCUAGAGAAUUAUGUAUGCAUUUGAGUGGACGACCCAGCUCAUAACCUUUGAUAUUAUGUUUUAAAAUCAUUUGAUUCCACAAUAUAAAGUGUUUGAGCUUCUUUA